UACGGAGGGGGCUAGCGUUGUUCGGAAUUACUGGGCGUAAAGCGCACGUAGGCGGAUGUUUAAGUCGGGGGUGAAAUCCCAGAGCUCAACUCCGGAAUGGCCUUCGAUACUGGAGGUCUGGAGGUCGGUAGAGGCGAGUGGAAUUGCGAGUGUAGAGGUGAAAUUCGUAGAUAUUCGCAGGAACACCAGUGGCGAAGGCGACUCGCUGGGCCAUUGCUGACGCUGAGAUGCGAAAGCGUGGGGAGCAAACAGG
rnacentral:rRNA from 1 species